GAUAAAGACACAACAUCCAGUGAAGCCCCAACAGAACCUGCAGUUACUGCUGCAAACAGUUCGGAGAAAGACAAUGAGGAUGAAAGCUUCGACUCUGAUGAAGGAGGAAAGAAAAACUUCAGGGCUAAAUCUCAGAUUCCAGCCCACAAUCCAAGCCCUGCCCACAAUCCAAGCUCUGCCUUCCCUCAUCAGCCAAUUAUUCCUCAGCCUAAAUCUGCUGUGAGGAACCGAACGUCCAAGAGGCGAUCCAGGACCAACCGCCGCCAGAUCUAACACACAUACACACACACACACAUCUAAACACACACACACACACACACACACACACACAUUUGUGGUAUGCUUUGUGGUCUGAUUGGUCAUCUGCAGGCGUGACAUGUGUCCAGGAGCCUUUUUGAAUUAAACUCUAAAAGUUUGACGUGUUUGAAAUCAGAUGAAAUUGUUAUCAAUCAUUGAUACCAAUAUUCAAUCGAUAUAUGAAUGACUUCAUCCUCCUGGACUCCUGCAAACAGAUUUCUAUCAGCUCAGUUUUUUUUUUCCAAGUUCA